AGCAAGCUUAAAAGGCAGGGUCCAGUGAGGUUUCCUCCCUGUCUCAAGCUCUAUUUUCAGACCACGGAAAGGAGAAUAGAGUUCUUGUGCUCAUACUAGAGAUAACUCUCUUCCCAGUCUCUAGCCUUGAUCUGAACCAGAGCCAAGCACGCCAGCCCUCUGCGUGGUGACCAUUGUCCACAUCACCGUGGCCAGGUAAUCUCAAGAGCUUUCUCAGCUGUGUGGUAUAUGUUCCAUGUUCUAAAUCGAUCAGUGAAGCUCACACCAUUUACUAUUUGAACUCUACCACUGUAUGUUGCUGGGAACUAGGUGUAAAAUUCACUCAAAAAUAGGCUGUCAGGUUUUUGGUUCCUAGACUUAGCGCAGAAAGCUGAAACCAGGUUUUAGUGUGUUGAGCUCAAUUUUGGAGCUCUAUUGUGCCCAGUCUAUUUGGUUUUGGGCCAAAGUUUUGUAGCAAGUUUGAAGACCAUAGUAAGAUGAACAAAAUUACUAAUGGGAGAUGGGCUUGGUGCUACACAAAAUUGGAAGUAAAACAUGUCCAAAUAUUCUCUGCCAGACAUAAUAAAUGCUGAUUCAGAACACUAAAAUGGGGUUGCAGUGGUUUUGGCUCUACUUUGGUGCUUCAUAAAAAUUGUUCUGAAUGUUUUAAACCUAGGGGUACUAUACCAAAGUAGUAGAGCUAUAUCUAAGGAAUAACUUUGGUAAUGUGAGCUUGGUCUGCUGCUGUGUAAAAAUUAGAGCAAAGGUUGGCUAAAGUUGGACUGUGAGGCCGGACACAUAACUGAAUUUUGUAUUCAGUUCUGAGAACUGAAUUGCAGCAGGAUGCCUAGUUUGGAAUUCAUUUGUGACUGAUUCAUGGGGUUUUGGAUUAAGGGUUCCAUAGCAAAGUUGUAGACCAUAGUAAAGUGAACAAGUUUUCUAAAGUGAGAUGGACCUGAUUUCACAUAAAUUUGGGAGUAAAAGUAGCCAAAAGGUGGACUGUCAGGUGUUAGAAUUCAGACUUAGAAUAAUAUUUAAGUCUGAAUUUGUGUGUUUUUAUUUAAUUUGGGUCCUUGUGGUUAUUAAUCCAAGAAGAAUUAGUGUAGGAGUGUUAUAGCAAAGUGAAAGACCAUGUUAUAAGGAACAAAUCUCUUUAAGCAAGUUAGGCUUGAAUCCACAUAAAGAUGGAAAUAACAGCUGUCCAAAACUGGACUGUCAGAGUGCCUGUGACUGAAUUUUAUUCAGUUAGCUGAAAUAGCAGUUCAGUGUGAGUUAGUGCUUUGGAAACAAGAUAAGUUUAUCUAGGGAAGAGAUAAAGUUGCUUAAGAAGUUUUAAGCUUUUGGAUGAGAUAUAAGUUGGAUUAAUUCCCUGGUUUACCUAAGUGAUUUCAAAUUGGUCACUUUAAUCGAGCGAUAAGAAAUAGGUGUAUUCUUGUCAUGUGCUUUAGUUGUAGUGUUUCUGUUCUCCACCUCUCCUUGUGAGAGUUUGCAUUACAUGGCAUUCAUUCUUAUAUACACCUAUAUAUGGUUAUGUUUAGAAAACGAAGAAGAGAUCGAAGUGACUGAAGAAAAGACAUCACCACCUUUGGAAUCUCAGGCAGAGACUUGGCUCUACUUCGACAUCUGCGAGUCCGAGCCUGACUCACCUACUAACAAAGGCAAGCCCCGGUGCAUGCAACCCCUUUCCUUGUGUUUUUAAAUACUUUUCGCACACUUUAAGUCUAGUGAAAUGUGCAUUAGGGUCAUAGGAGUUGUUUGAAACCCUUUGAUGCAUUGCUUUCCUUGAUAUCCAUACCUUUAUAGAUACUUCUGUAAAGUAUCAAAAUAUGAUUUACAAAAAUGCUUAGCCUUGCUUAGAUCUUGUGGAUAGAGGUUGUCCUCAAUUUAACCCGGGAGAGGAUGGCUUCUACCUGCAAGAAUAUUUUCAUUUGGAGCAAUAGUGGGAUCUUACUGCAAAGUUCCCUGUGAUGCUCUUUCAUCCUAAGGAACAGACACAAUCCUAAGGAUGGAAAUACUUAAACUGAGACUUGGGUUAGGAACAGGUGAUGUUCUACCCAGGUUGGUUAAGGAUUAACGCGUAUGUAGGCGUGCUGACCGAGGACCCUUUAACUGGUCACAUGCCUCGUCAUGGGUAAGCCUUGCCUCGGGCAGACUAAGGCCGGAAUAAGAUAACACGAAAUGGGCGUGGAGCGGUGGCGAGAGUAGCGUGUACCCUCCGUGGCAAGAGGCUGGACGGUGGUGUAUCUGUGCUCUCGGUUUGCGUGAACCUGAUCCGGUCUUAAGAACCCCGGUGGCGGGUUGACAUAUGCAAGGGUUAAGUGCUACAUAUGUCGUGUGAUUGGAGAUCCUCAGCUGAGUAUAAUCGAUUCGGAUCGCCGUACCUUCGCGGUUAUGAAGACUUGGUCACUUCCCUGCAACCUAAAGUCAGGAUGUGAACACUAUGGAUAAAAAUGAUGUUGUAUUGAUGAGAUGUUGAAAUUAGACUAGAUGCAAAUAGAGUCUAUUAAUACUUAAUAUGGCGUUAAAAGAUUGAAAGUAAGGACUCACUUUAGUAAGCUACUUCUGCAAAAGUAUAAGUUGAUUUUUGCUAAAGCCUCUCCUUGACUCUUAUUUAUCCAGCAUACCCUUGAGAGUCUUUUCCUUAGUCGGGUAAGACUUGCUGAGUAAUUCCAUACUCAGGGUUUAUCCCUUUGUUGUUUUUAGGUGAGGAAGCGACAAAUUUUUGUUGCUUUUGCUCCAAGGUGGUAUCAAAUGAAGAAAAACAAAAGUGAAGAUGCGGGAGGACGUGGUCCUCCAUAUAGGAUCUUUUUGUUUUAAAGCUUUCGGGAGGAGUUUUUGUCUCCCUUGAUAUGUGUAAUAAUACUACUCAGCACUCGUUUAUAGCUCUGGUCUGUAAUAAGUAACUUGAUCUUACUUUCUAAAUAAAUGUAAGUUUAUGUAAUUGCUUCCGCACUUCUAUAUCUCCGAUGUUCUGUAAUGUCUGCAAGACGGGUGAGACGUUCCUGGUGAGGUAAGGAAAGAUACCGAACUUGUCAAGUGACUUAGGAACAUCUACAGGGUGUCUGAUGUCCGUUGGACAAGGACAACUGUAGGUGGGCCUAAUUACUUGGGAGGUUCCGUCACAGCUGGUAUCGGAGCGUAGCCCUUCUCUGCAGAUACUAUCAGACAUCUUCAAAAGAUUUUCUAAACAAACUUACCUAGAAAAUUUCUUCCUUUCUUACCUAAGUAAUUCUGAAGAGUUUAUUUUAAAGACCAGAUAGGAAGAGUGCAAUGUAUAGAAGGUGUGAAUCAACUAAUGUUGAUUCUGUAAUUACACAUGCAUCAUGUCAUACAAACUUUAAGUUAAACCCCCUGUGUAGCUAUUUUAGUGUAUGAAUCAUCUACCUUGUUCAUACAUCUUUAGUGAAUAGAGUGUAUCCGUUGCCCUUCUCUAUAGAUGAAUCAACAAGAAGCUCCUACAGGAGUUGGAGAGUUUCUUCGAGAUUUUGGUGUUCUAGUGGUCCUGUGGCGACUACUUCAAGAAUUUGGAUAUACCGAAGCACCUAAGUACCAGUGGUCACACACUGUUCUUAGAGGACAACCAUGGUAUGAGGUAGUAGUGCGUAUUCUAGAACGUGCUAGAAAGCCAUCUUGGCCACAUUGGAUGUUCCAUGCUGAAGGAAUGACUCCUUGGGAGGGUGCUCAGGUAGCUGCCUUAGAGGCGCUAACAACCAUUUGUUACCAGAAAUGGGAGGAAAUACAAGUCACAUCUAUGAGGUUGUUCCCUGCAGUUGCCUUAAGUGACCCAUUGGUGUAUCAUCACCAGGCCCGAUUAUUGGAAGCAUUCCUAUUGGGCAGGAUUCUGUAGAAUCGGCAUCUGCUCGAGUAUUGAUGGCCGUGCUAGAGUUGCAGCUUACUCGAGGGCACAAUCGUCAAAUGUGGCAGCAGUUGUACACUGGGAGUUAUGCAACAUUUAAGAUGAUGGAAAUGGCCAAGAAUAGGGCUUGUACCCAGGCACAAGAACAACUGGAGGACACAAAGAUUCAAGCUGAGCGAAUUAUUGGAUUAGAGCAUCAGGUGACAGAACUUCAGACGCAACACCAAGCUGAUCAGAAUUGCAUUAAGGAGCUUGAGCAUCAGCUAACUAAUGCUCAUUCUAAAUCAAAAGUUCUGAGUCAGCAACAAGAAGAAAUUCGCUUGGGUGCUAUUGCUAUUAGCGAAGACCUUAAGGAAACCCUAAGCUUCAUAAGCCAUCAGGAUCAGGCGAUCCAGGAAUUGAAUCGUGCUCAUCCAAUGGAAUUUCAAGUAGCGCAACGGCUUGUCAACCAUCUGCAGCAAGCAGUGCAUAUGCUCAAUGUUGCCUUUUAUCCUACUCCGGCAUCAGCGGACUAAGGGUUCCUUGGAAGAAUGGCAACAAGUAUCUGGCAGAUGGUGUAGCUAGAGAAGAUGUAAUAGGCAACUGGGAGUGUAGCGAAGUAGAUCAAUGUAAUAAGGUAGGUGUAAGAUAGACCUGCUUGGUAAUAAAAACAGGUUAAACUUUGUUGAAAAGAGUUUUCCUGUUUCACCUGGAUCAUGUAACAUGUGAGCUUUUCUAUGACUAUGGUGUAAGAAACAACUGCCUGUUUCAGAAGCAACUUUUAAUAUCUAUAGCCGUUUGUCGAAUCCCAAGAGUUAAAAUGGCUAUUCCUUUGGAUAUUCCCUGUGGAUGCACGUGUGUGGAUAAAUGACUUGGUAUACGCUGGUACCAUAGUUUCUAGUUGUGUUCCGUGAUGAAAUGGUACCACCUAAUUUCCCAUGUGAAUUUGGACAAAUGGAUAGACUUUAUCCAAAACAAAUUAGAUGCAGCAUCUUGGAUAAAACACAGAAAGAUAUCAAGUCUUACGGGGUACAGUGGAACUACCCCACAGAAGAUGAAGCCAUGUAGAAGGUCUGAGGGGUAUUUAGAAGACAAAGUCCUUGCCCUAAGUUUCGAGUUUUUGGAAAACCUUAGGGUUUGUGAAUUUUAAACCAACAGUGGCACGCCCCCUGUUUGGUAGGAGAAAUUGGGAAAUAACUUUGUGACACAUUUCUUUUUUCCGUUACUGAGCCUAAACUUUUAAAUCUCGGGACGAGAUUUCUUUUAGGGGGAAGGCUGUAACACCCCUGGUGUUACGUAAACUAAAACUCUGACAUGUCAUCAUAAGCAUCUGCAUUAAUGUGCUUGUUACACCUAGAAUGCAUUUACUAGGUUAAAAUUUUCUUUUCAAAAGUGUGAUGUCGUGUGUUGAGUAUAGGACUUAGGUUGAAAACCUUGCUUGAAAUUGUGGAUAAACAAAAUAACUCCGAAAUCAAGGACUUGUUCGGAAGGAGCUACAUAUGCUAAAGUUGGAUCUUAGACUAGAGAGUAACUUUGUUUCUAAUGGAUGGAUCAAAGGGAUGAAUCCCUGGAAGAAUCUGAAACACAAAUGAAACUCAUUUGAAACCCUAAAACUAGCCCAAAAGGGGAAUUCAAAAUCUAGAAGGAUUUAGCUAAAAGUCUAUAUACCAAGGUUGUAGGACUUGGAAAAGUGAACAAAUUUCAUAUUUGGAGAUUCCUAAGUUGUGUGGAAGAAUUUGGAGUUAAGUACAAAAAUUCAGUUUUGGGUUCAUUUUGGAAUUGCUGAAAAUAAUAUAAACUAGACAACUUUGGACCCUUGUAACUUCUGAUCUAAAACUAUUUUGAAGAUGAUCAUUAUAACAAAGUCAUAGAGCUACAUGAGGAGUACAAGUUUGGUUAAGUCACCUAGCCCUAACACUCUAUGGAACUUGGAGAAAAACUAGUCCAAUGUAGAGCUGUCAGAAAUUGUAGAUUUCAGACUUAGUGAAAUUCAGAUUCUGAAUUUCAGCAAUUGGAGCAAACUUUGGGCUAUUGUAGUUUGGAAUUCAAGAGGUUUUAGUUAAUGGUUACUAUAUCAAACUUGUAGAGGAACUAUUGGAGUAUAAACUUUAUUAAGCAACUUGCCCCUAUAAACAUUUGGAACCCAGGAAAAAGAGUGGUUCCAAGUGGUGCUGCUGUAUUUCUGAAUUUUCAGAUUGGAAACAGUAACUGAAACUGAAUUUCAGUGUUUUGAUAGCAGUUUUGAAGCCUAUUUGUGGUUGUUCUAUAAUGUUUUGUGCUAUGGUAUUUAUAGAGAAGUUGAAGCCCAUAUGAUGGUGAACAAGUUUCUUUAAGUGACUUUGGCUUCUUUCCACAUAAAAAGUGGAUAAAAAUGCCCCCAAAAUCAGCUGCUAGGCAUUCCUAUAACUGAAUUUGGUUCAGUUCUGAAAACUGAAAUUUGUUGUAUGGUGCCGAGUUUGGAGCCCUUUUGUGGUUGUUUAUAAGGUUUUGGACUGAGAUUUCUAUAGAGGAAUUGAAGACCAUAUAUUGGUGAACAUCUUCUUUAAAGGUAAUGGACAUGAUCCUAUACGAAAAUUGGAGUAACAGCUGCUCCAAGUUUGACUGUCAGGUGGUUGGUGACUUAGUUUAUUCAGAACUGAAUGUCUGAAAUCAAUAUUUUUAGUGCAGUUUUGGAGCUGUGUAGUGCCUAUUCUAGGUGGUUUUGAACCAAAGUUUCUGCAGCAAGUUUUAAGACCAUAUCUAGGAGAACAAACUUGUUUAAGCACUACUGGGUUGGUGCUACACAAAUUUGGGAGAGAAGUUAGCUCCAAGAUGGGCUGUCAGGUUGCUUUGACUGAAAUUUUUGUUCAGUUCACUGAAACCGAAAUUCAGUAAAAGGUACUAAUUUUGGAGCUCAUUUGUGGCUAAUCCAUUUGGUUUUGGGCUAAAUUUUCUGUAUCACAUUUGAAGACCAGAGUACAUUGAACAAGUUUUAUAUAGUGAGGUGGACUUGAUGCUGCACAAAACUGGGAGAAAAAGGUGUUCAAACUACCUCUGUCAGAUUGGUGCAGAUCAGGUCUGAUGCAGUGACUGUGGUUUUGGUUUAGUGUUUUCCCUAGAUUUUAGAGUUAAUUUGUGGUUGAUCCAAGGGGUAUAAGUCUAUGGCCUCUGUGGAGAUAAGUUAGAGGGUUAGUUGGUGAACAAAGUUCACCAAGAUUGAUUCCGUGAUGUUGCUUGGAAGUAGAAGAAAUGAAAGGGUGGAAGGAGGGGUUCUGUUAAGCUGUGGUAGUUCAGUGUUGGUCAAAAGGAAUCUGAAAAAGAUCACCCCCUGCUGCUCUCACCUAUGAGCUUGGAUGGGGAUAAGGUUGAAAGGUGUCACUAAAGAUCUAGAGAACAUUCACUAGUGCAAAAUAUCCAAGUUGGACUGCAGUGAGCAGUGGGGUGUUUAAUUGUUUCAGUUGUCGCUUGCAGUUGGGGACAAAGGGGAUAUUUGUGUGUGUAGUUGAGAUGAGUAUGGAGUGUAGGAUUGAGGUCUUAAGACACCACCCUCUGCUGGACGAAAUAUCAAGGCUUUGAACCUGUUGGAACCUAUCCACAAGUGAUAUUUGGGUGCUGUAAUUGGGAGAUGACCACAUUCAAUGUCUUUGAGCUGUGCUGUGAACCUGUGUGGCAGUGAGCAUGUGAGCCACGUAAUGAAGUGCAUGUGUGGCUGACACCCUGAGAACACAACUCCACUGCAUGCUGGACAGGUUCAUGGGACAUCUGCCCAUUUCAGCAAGCUUAAAAGGCAGGGUCCAGUGAGGUUUCCUCCCUGUCUCAAGCUCUAUUUUCAGACCACGGAAAGGAGAAUAGAGUUCUUGUGCUCAUACUAGAGAUAACUCUCUUCCCAGUCUCUAGCCUUGAUCUGAACCAGAGCCAAGCACGCCAGCCCUCUGCGUGGUGACCAUUGUCCACAUCACCGUGGCCAGGUAAUCUCAAGAGCUUUCUCAGCUGUGUGGUAUAUGUUCCAUGUUCUAAAUCGAUCAGUGAAGCUCACACCAUUUACUAUUUGAACUCUACCACUGUAUGUUGCUGGGAACUAGGUGUAAAAUUCACUCAAAAAUAGGCUGUCAGGUUUUUGGUUCCUAGACUUAGCGCAGAAAGCUGAAACCAGGUUUUAGUGUGUUGAGCUCAAUUUUGGAGCUCUAUUGUGCCCAGUCUAUUUGGUUUUGGGCCAAAGUUUUGUAGCAAGUUUGAAGACCAUAGUAAGAUGAACAAAAUUACUAAUGGGAGAUGGGCUUGGUGCUACACAAAAUUGGAAGUAAAACAUGUCCAAAUAUUCUCUGCCAGACAUAAUAAAUGCUGAUUCAGAACACUAAAAUGGGGUUGCAGUGGUUUUGGCUCUACUUUGGUGCUUCAUAAAAAUUGUUCUGAAUGUUUUAAACCUAGGGGUACUAUACCAAAGUAGUAGAGCUAUAUCUAAGGAAUAACUUUGGUAAUGUGAGCUUGGUCUGCUGCUGUGUAAAAAUUAGAGCAAAGGUUGGCUAAAGUUGGACUGUGAGGCCGGACACAUAACUGAAUUUUGUAUUCAGUUCUGAGAACUGAAUUGCAGCAGGAUGCCUAGUUUGGAAUUCAUUUGUGACUGAUUCAUGGGGUUUUGGAUUAAGGGUUCCAUAGCAAAGUUGUAGACCAUAGUAAAGUGAACAAGUUUUCUAAAGUGAGAUGGACCUGAUUUCACAUAAAUUUGGGAGUAAAAGUAGCCAAAAGGUGGACUGUCAGGUGUUAGAAUUCAGACUUAGAAUAAUAUUUAAGUCUGAAUUUGUGUGUUUUUAUUUAAUUUGGGUCCUUGUGGUUAUUAAUCCAAGAAGAAUUAGUGUAGGAGUGUUAUAGCAAAGUGAAAGACCAUGUUAUAAGGAACAAAUCUCUUUAAGCAAGUUAGGCUUGAAUCCACAUAAAGAUGGAAAUAACAGCUGUCCAAAACUGGACUGUCAGAGUGCCUGUGACUAAAUUUUAUUCAGUUAGCUGAAAUAGCAGUUCAGUGUGAGUUAGUGCUUUGGAAACAAGAUAAGUUUAUCUAGGGAAGAGAUAAAGUUGCUUAAGAAGUUUUAAGCUUUUGGAUGAGAUAUAAGUUGGAUUAAUUCCCUGGUUUACCUAAGUGAUUUCAAAUUGGUCACUUUAAUCGAGCGAUAAGAAAUAGGUGUAUUCUUGUCAUGUGCUUUAGUUGUAGUGUUUCUGUUCUCCACCUCUCCUUGUGAGAGUUUGCAUUACAUGGCAUUCAUUUUUAUAUACACCUAUAUAUGGUUAUGUUUAGAAAACGAAGAAGAGAUCGAAGUGACUGAAGAAAAGACAUCACCACCUUUGGAAUCUCAGGCAGAGACUUGGCUCUACUUCGACAUCUGCGAGUCCGAGCCUGACUCACCUACUAACAAAGGCAAGCCCCGGUGCAUGCAACCCCUUUCCUUGUGUUUUUAAAUACUUUUCGCACACUUUAAGUCUAGUGAAAUGUGCAUUAGGGUCAUAGGAGUUGUUUGAAACCCUUUGAUGCAUUGCUUUCCUUGAUAUCCAUACCUUUAUAGAUACUUCUGUGAAGUAUCAAAAUAUGAUUUACAAAAAUGCUUAGCCUUGCUUAGAUCUUGUGGAUAGAGGUUGUCCUCAAUUUAACCCAGGAGAGGAUGGCUUCUACCUGCAAGAAUAUUUUCAUUUGGAGCAAUAGUGGGAUCUUACUGCAAAGUUCCCUGUGAUGCUCUUUCAUCCUAAGGAACAGACACAAUCCUAAGGAUGGAAAUACUUAAACUGAGACUUGGGUUAGGAACAGGUGAUGUUCUACCCAGGUUGGUUAAGGAUUAACGCGUAUGUAGGCGUGCUGACCGAGGACCCUUUAACUGGUCACAUGCCUCGUCAUGGGUAAGCCUUGCCUCGGGCAGACUAAGGCCGGUAUAAGAUAACACGAAAUGGUCGUGGAGCGGUGGCGAGAGUAGCGUGUACCCUCCGUGGCAAGAGGCUGGACGGUGGUGUAUCUUUGCUCUCGGUUUGCGUGAACCUGAUCCGGUCUUAAGAACCCCGGUGGCGGGUUGACAUAUGCAAGGGUUAAGUGCUACAUAUGUCGUGUGAUUGGAGAUCCUCAGCUGAGUAUAAUCGAUUCGGAUCGCCGUACCUUCGCGGUUAUGAAGACUUGGUCACUUCCCUGCAACCUAAAGUCAGGAUGUGAACACUAUGGAUAAAAAUGAUGUUGUAUUGAUGAGAUGUUGAAAUUAGACUAGAUGCAAAUAGAGUCUAUUAAUACUUAAUAUGGCG
rnacentral:lncRNA from 1 species